AUUGAACGCUGGCGGCAUGCCUUACACAUGCAAGUCGAACGGCAGCACGGGAGCAAUCCUGGUGGCGAGUGGCGAACGGGUGAGUAAUAUAUCGGAACGUGCCCAGUCGUGGGGGAUAACGCAGCGAAAGCUGUGCUAAUACCGCAUACGAUCUAAGGAUGAAAGCGGGGGAUCGCAAGACCUCGCGCGAUUGGAGCGGCCGAUAUCAGAUUAGCUAGGUGGUGGGGGAAAGGCCGACCAAGGCGACGAUCUGUAGCUGGUCUGAGAGGACGACCAGCCACACUGGAACUGAGACACGGUCCAGACUCCUACGGGAGGCAGCAGUGGGGAAUUUUGGACAAUGGGCGCAAGCCUGAUCCAGCAAUGCCGCGUGCAGGAUGAAGGCCUUCGGGUUGUAAACUGCUUUUGUACGGAACGAAACGGCCCUUUCUAAUACAGGGGGCUAAUGACGGUACCGUAAGAAUAAGCACCGGCUAACUACGUGCCAGCCGCCGCCGUAA
rnacentral:rRNA from 1 species